rnacentral:rRNA from 1 species
UACGGGGGGGGCAAGCGUUGUUCGGAAUUACUGGGCGUAAAGGGCUCGUAGGCGGCCAACUAAGUCGGAUGUGAAAUCCCCAGGCUCAACUUGGGAACUGGCAUCCGAUACUGGAUGGCUUGAAUCCGGGAGUAGGGAUGGCAGAAUUCCAGGUGUAGCGGUGAAAUGCGUAGAUAUCUGGAGGAAUACCGGUGGCGAAGGCGGCAUCCUGGACCGGCAUUGACGCUGAUGGAGCGAAAAGCUGAGGGGAGACCAAACGGGG